rnacentral:rRNA from 1 species
GACGAACGCUGGCGGCGUGCCUAAUACAUGCAAGUCGAGCGAACUUUUGGGAGCUUGCUCCCAAAAGUUAGCGGCGGACGGGUGAGUAACACGUGGGCAACCUGCCUAUAAGACUGGGAUAACUUCGGGAAACCGGAGCUAAUACCGGAUAACUCCUUUUUUCUCAUGAGGAAAGGCUGAAAGACGGUUUAUGCUGUCACUUAUAGAUGGGCCCGCGGCGCAUUAGCUAGUUGGUGAGGUAACGGCUCACCAAGGCAACGAUGCGUAGCCGACCUGAGAGGGUGAUCGGCCACACUGGGACUGAGACACGGCCCAGACUCCUACGGGAGGCAGCAGUAGGGAAUCUUCCGCAAUGGACGAAAGUCUGACGGAGCAACGCCGCGUGAGUGAUGAAGGUUUUCGGAUCGUAAAACUCUGUUGUUAGGGAAGAACAAGUACGAGAGUAACUGCUCGUACCUUGACGGUACCUAACCAGAAAGCCACGGCUAACUACGUGCCAGCCGCCGCGGUAAUAC